rnacentral:rRNA from 1 species
AUUGAACGCUGGCGGCAGGCCUAACACAUGCAAGUCGAGCGGCAGCGGAAAGUAGCUUGCUACUUUGCCGGCGAGCGGCGGACGGGUGAGUAAUGUCUGGGAACCUGCCUGAUGGAGGGGGAUAACUACUGGAAACGGUAGCUAAUACCGCAUAACGUCGCAAGACCAAAGAGGGGGACCUUCGGGCCUCUUGCCAUCAGAUGUGCCCAGAUGGGAUUAGCUAGUAGGUGGGGUAACGGCUCACCUAGGCGACGAUCCCUAGCUGGUCUGAGAGGAUGACCAGCCACACGGGAACUGAGAAACGGUCCAGACUCCUACGGGAGGCAGCAGUGGGGAAUAUUGCACAAUGGGCGCAAGCCUGAUGCAGCCAUGCCGCGUGUAUGAAGAAGGCCUUCGGGUUGUAAAGUACUUUCAGCGGGGAGGAAGGUGUUGUGGUUAAUAACCACAGCAAUUGACGUUACCCGCAGAAGAAGCACCGGCUAACUCCGUGCCAGCCGCCGCCGUAA